ACUCCUACGGGAGGCAGCAGUGGGGAAUUUUGGACAAUGGGGGCAACCCUGAUCCAGCCAUGCCGCGUGAGUGAAGAAGGCCUUCGGGUUGUAAAGCUCUUUCGGCCGGGAAGAAAUCGCCAUCUCUAAUAUAGGUGGUGGAUGACGGUACCGGAAUAAGAAGCACCGGCUAACUACGUGCCAGCAGCCGCGGUAAUACGUAGGGUGCGAGCGUUAAUCGGAAUUACUGGGCGUAAAGCGUGCGCAGGCGGUUUUUAAGAUAGGCGUGAAAUCCCCGGGCUUAACCUGGGAACUGCGCUUAUGACUGGAAGACUAGAGUACGGCAGAGGGGGGUGGAAUUCCACGUGUAGCAGUGAAAUGCGUAGAGAUGUGGAGGAACACCGAUGGCGAAGGCAGCCCCUGGCCG
rnacentral:rRNA from 1 species